GAUCCGGUGGUUCUGCGUGGAAGGGCCAUCGCUCAACGGAUAAAAGCUACCCUGGGGAUAACAGGCUUAUCUCCCCCAAGAGUCCACAUCGACGGGGAGGUUUGGCACCUCGAUGUCGGCUCAUCACAUCCUGGGGCUGUAGUAGGUCCCAAGGGUUGGGCUGUUCGCCCAUUAAAGUGGUACGCGAGCUGGGUUCAGAACGUCGGGAGACAGUUCGGUCCCUAUCCGUCGCAGGCGUAGGAAAUUUGAGAAGACCUGUCCUUAGUACGAGAGGACCGGGAUGGACGUACCUCUGGUGUACCAGUUGUUCUGCCAAGGGCAUGGCUGGGUAGCUAUGUA
rnacentral:rRNA from 1 species